GGUUAAGCGAUUUAAUACACUUGUUUCUGCUUCUUUCUACUUCCACCUCACUGAUGGAGGCUCUACAGUUAUUAUAUACUGUUCAUUUUGCAAGAAUAGGCUUAUGGAGAUUUACUCUAAACAACAGACUUGGUCUCUGAAACAAUCUGCGGUAAGUUUGAAUACCGUGUUUUAACGGAUAGACUGCAACCAAAAAACAUGAAGGGCAAUAGGUGACAAUAUCAAAAAAUUGAACAGUGGGAGAAUGAGAAGACCUUAUGCGUUGUCGUGUCUACAAAGUGGGUCAUAAGUAAAACUGAUUUCUGUACGAUAAAAACUUUAAAUAAGGUUUAUUAAAGCUACACCGCCCGUUCUACAAUUUAACUUGUAUUGAGCUGCGCGAUUUUAUGCUUUUUUCAAGCAGACCUUUUUUCCAUGAAACUUGCAUCAAAUGCCUGCGAUAAAAACUUGCAUUUAGUUUUACAAAUUCUACACUUCUUAAUGUACCACUCAACUUGGAAUGAGCUACGUGACUUUAAUUUUUUUUAAGUCGACAUCUUUUGCACAAAACGUGCAGAAAUUAUUCCUACUGUAAAUAUAGAACGGGAGAA